UGACGUGCGGUGAUGAGAUCAUGUGGAGAAGGAACAUGCAGGUGGGACCCAUACACGAUUUCUCUUUUCAGUUGCAUACUUACGCAGGUGGAUCGUGCGUGGGUUGCUGCAUGUUGCAUGACUGUGGGGUCCACACAACAGUUCUUCUCUUUCUUCUCUACAUUUAUCUCCUUCCCGUAUCUACAAUUCUGCACUGCUAGCGCAUGCAGGCAAGACGCGGGGCAGCUCGACGGCGAGUGCUGCGCGCAGCUCGUUAGAGCCGAGGCCGAGGUGCGCGGCAGCACGCCCGCACUGGCACGGGGGCUAGCCGGCGGGGGCAGGCAGUAGGGCCAGGGACCGAUGAGGGGCUGCGAGCAGGGGCGGAUCUCCACCCGGGGCUGCCUGGGCUGCAGCCCCGGUCGGAAUUCGCGGCCCACUAGAGGCCCAUAGUCGUGCUUGCGCCCAGUCCCCCAACCCUAGCCGCCGCUCCUGCCGGUACCGCGCGGCCGCACGCCCGCACAGUUCCUCUCCAGCGCCGCAGCGAGCUCACUGCUCAGCGCCUCUUGCUCCGCUGCUCAGCUGCUCUUGCCCUCCUCUCCUCUCCAGCGCAGCGCCUCCUCUCCUGCUCUCCAACGCCCGCGCCGUGUCUCCUCUCCAGCGCCGCGUCGCUGCGCGCUUGCGGCUCACGACCAGCCACCGGCCAGGCCGCACCGCGGCACGCGGCACUGCCAGGCAUAGGCGCCAGGACCUCCAUCUCCCAUGAGUCUGCCUCUUCCGACGACGCCGAGUCCGCUGCAUUCACCGUGAACUCGGACAAUGUCAUCGUCUUCGGCCUUUUGUCACAAGGACAAUCAUUGGAGCUGCUCGUUGGAAGCAAUGGCUCGAUGCAGAUCGACCCAGAGAGAGAUGUGAGUGUGUGGGGAAAAGAAGGCAAGCCAUGUGCAGUGACAACCGCAAAAGGACAUCACACAUCAUAAAGUUUCGACGACGCCGAGUCCGCUGCAUUCACCGUGAACUCGGACAAUGUCAUCGUCUUCGGCGUUAGCUUCAAGAACAGCGCCCGCGUCGGCCUGGUGAACGACCCGGAGAUCCGUUCCGUGGCGGCGAUGGUGGCCGGCGACAAGGCGACCUUGUACCACUGCCCGUUCUACAACCCCCACCACACCCUGUAUCGACUUAUUUCUAGACUACGUAUUUUUUGAAUGUUUAAAUUAUAUCUUUCUUCUUGUGUCAUAUUAAACAUCAAUUAUAUUUUUUUGUUCGGUUUAAA